rnacentral:lncRNA from 1 species
AUUUUUGAGUGUCGUCUAUCACCAUUCCAGCUAACCUUGAUGAGAGACAGCCCCCCAGAUGGCAGCAACACAAGAGACACAGAAAGACAGGAAGUAAAGACAAGUAAAGACAAUGCCUUUACAUGAAGGCAACAGCCCUGAGAACAAUUGUCUUGGAGGAGGGAGGAAGAGACGAGGCUGAACACUGCCGUGCAGGGAAGGGAGCCAUUUUUAAAGCCCUUCUGAAAUGUUCACUUGUACACUCAAGAUCCCAAUUGUUGUGGAGCUUCAAGCAGGUG